AUCUUCCGCCGAUUUACCUCUCACCUCCAAGCCGGAACGCUCACCCCACCGCACAACUUCACCACUAAAAUGCAUCGAUACCUUUUUCAAACUCGUGACUGCCACCGAAUCUGCAACGAUCUACAACAAUCACCUCGCCAAACAUCUGAAUUUAAUAGUGAAAAGCAAAAACUCAUCGCACGUGUCUUCCUAGACAAAGCCAUCAUAAAUCAAUGAUUUUUCAAAAGCUCAACUCUGCUGAAGGAAUGACAUGUCUAAGAUUUGACAAAGCUACUUGGCCUUCUUUAUCAGCCGAUGCAAAAAUGAUUUUUUCUGUAAAAAGGCUGCUGAAUAGAGAUUUUCGUAAAAGAUUAACUGCAUCUUAGGCUCUUAGUUUGUGUUCACUUUUCUGUUGAUUGUCGUGGUAUUGAAAUUUUUCAUCUUAUAAUUCGAUGAACUUUCUAGAUUAUAACUUGAUUUUAUGCUUAGGUCAUCCAUGGAAUACAUUACAAUAAUGCAUAUGCAAUAUCAGUCCCAAAAAAUAGCCUCAAUAUAAAUGUUAGAAAACUAACCAAAGAUAUCACUAGCACAGGUACUGAGACACGCAUACUACGAUACUGCUUUCGGUGUUUCCUAACAAAUUCUAGCUCUUUUUUAAGAACACCAAAUUCUUGAAUGUUCCAUAAAUCAAAGGCAUGCCACUGGAAGUGAUCAUUGAGUUCUUCUCCAUUGGAGCAAAACAGGCUGAGGCAGCCAAUCAUAACUGA